AACGCUAGCUACAGGCUUAACACAUGCAAGUCGAGGGGAAACGACAUCGAAAGCUUGCUUUUGAUGGGCGUCGACCGGCGCACGGGUGAGUAACGCGUAUCCAACCUGCCCACCACUUGGGGAUAACCUUGCGAAAGUAAGACUAAUACCCAAUGAUAUCUCUAGAAGACAUCUGAAGGAGAUUAAAGAUUCAUCGGUGAUGGAUGGGGAUGCGUCUGAUUAGCUUGUUGGCGGGGUAACGGCCCACCAAGGCGACGAUCAGUAGGGGUUCUGAGAGGAAGGUCCCCCACAUUGGAACUGAGACACGGUCCAAACUCCUACGGGAGGCAGCAGUGAGGAAUAUUGGUCAAUGGGCGAGAGCCUGAACCAGCCAAGUAGCGUACAGGAUGACGGCCCUAUGGGUUGUAAACUGCUUUUAUAAGGGAAUAAAGUGAGCCUCGUGAGGCUUUUUGCAUGUACCUUAUGAAUAAGGACCGGCUAAUUCCGUGCCAGCAGCCGCGGUAAUACGGAAGGUCCGGGCGUUAUCCGGAUUUAUUGGGUUUAAAGGGAGCGUAGGCCGGAGAUUAAGCGUGUUGUGAAAUGUAGAUGCUCAACGUCUGCACUGCAGCGCGAACUGGUUUCCUUGAGUACGCACAAAGUGGGCGGAAUUCGUGGUGUAGCGGUGAAAUGCUUAGAUAUCACGAAGAACUCCGAUUG
rnacentral:rRNA from 1 species